AUUAAACCUCUGUGCUCUAAUUUCAAUAUUAAGCUAACAAAUUAUCGUCCAUAGUUCAAUCAGGAUUUUUAUUUAGAGCUAUUUAUCUUUAGAUCUGUGCUUUGCUGUUGGAGAAUCAAGAAUGUCUCAUAUCCUUCUGAUAUGUUUCUUUCUUUUCUCUGAUUUAUGUAAAAAUUAGAGCUUUCUCUACUAAUUUCAUUUUCUUUCUGUCCAAAUCUAAUUGUUGUAGUUUUGAUAGUCAUAUUUUUGAGAUAUUAUUGUCCCUGUCAUCGUAUUUUGGAGAUAUUGGUACUGCUGCCGUUAUACUUUGGGGACGUUGAUGUUCCUGUUCUUUCAUGCAUAUAUGUUCUAAUUUAUGGACAUUAAUGUAUUAAUGUUUCAAAAGAAUGAUGGAGAAUAUUUGCAUACCAGUUUGGGGAUAUAUUUGUGCUUUUUUCCUAAAAUAAAAGAACUUUUUGCUCCUGUUGGUUGCUAAAAAGGGGGCGGAAGUAAAAUUUUAGCUUAAGUCUAAAGUAAUGUCAAGCUGAUUCGAGGCAAAUGCAGCCUAACAUUGAACAUGUAUUUACCUGUAAUCCGAUAGUACAAAGCAUCAAUGGUUUAAAUUGUGUGUUUGCCUCAGCCUGAGUCCUUAUCUUCCUUGAGCUUUGGUUUCCAAAAUGUUGUUGAUCCCUGCCUGUUUUUGGCCUUUAACUUGAGCUAACGCGGGAACCAGAGAGAUCGAGAUCGUGAAAGGGCACAAGCCAGGGGAAAUCACAAGUCCAAGACACCUAAAAAUGAUGGAUUAACUCCUGAACAACGAAGAGAAAGGGAUGCAAAGGCACUUCAAGAGAAGGCGAAAAAGAAAGCAGCACAGGCGGAAGAUGGAUGGAAUAUCAACAAAUCGGAAAGCCAUAACAUCAAGAAGAAAUAGAUUCAUGACGAGUUUCAUGGAACUUUUUAUCCUCAGUAAUUCUGGCAUGUAUUGUUUGGCUUUUGUACCUUUGAUUUGUGUCUUCAUCUGCAAUGAAAUUUACUCACUCUUCACAUUGUUGGAAAGAAAUAUAUAUUGAUCAAAGAAAUUUGAAUUGGCUAAGUGCUAAUAUAGUUAUAUUAAAUGAUCUAUGAAUCAAGUGAAGAUACUAAAAUAGCUACCAGAUUAUAAUUUCUAUCAAGGUAAAUAGUUUGAGGUGCGGAUAAGGCGAC
rnacentral:lncRNA from 1 species